CCUACGGGGGGCUGCAGUGGGGAAUAUUGGACAAUGGGCGCAAGCCUGAUCCAGCCAUGCCGCGUGGGUGAAGAAGGCCUUCGGGUUGUAAAGCCCUUUUGUUGGGAAAGAAAACUUUCCGAUUAAUACUCGGAGAGAAUGACGGUACCCAAAGAAUAAGCACCGGCUAACUUCGUGCCAGCAGCCGCGGUAAUACGAAGGGUGCAAGCGUUACUCGGAAUUACUGGGCGUAAAGCGUGCGUAGGUGGUUCGUUAAGUCUGAUGUGAAAGCCCUG
rnacentral:rRNA from 1 species